GACAGGUGUGUGUCAGGUGUGUGUCAGGUGUGUGACAGGUGUGUGUCAGGUGUGUGUCAGGUGUGUGUCAGGUGUGUGACAGGUGUGUGACAGGUGUGUGUGUGACGGGUGUGUGACAGGUGUGUGUCAGGUGUGUGUCAGGUGUGUGUGACAGGUGUGUGUGUCAGGUGUGUGUCGGGUGUGUGU